UACGUAGGGGGCUAGCGUUGUCCGGAAUCAUUGGGCGUAAAGAGCGUGUAGGCGGCCAGGUAGGUCCGCUGUGAAAACUCGAGGCUUAACCUCGAGAUGUCGGUGGAAACCAUCUGGCUAGAGUCCGGAAGAGGAGAGUGGAAUUCCUGGUGUAGCGGUGAAAUGCGCAGAGUAUCAGGAAGAACACCCGUGGCGAAGGCGGCUCUCUGGGACGGUACUGACGCUGAGACGCGAAAGCGUGGGGAGCGAACAGG
rnacentral:rRNA from 1 species